GACGAACGCUGGCGGCGUGCUUAACACAUGCAAGUCGAACGAUGAAGCCUAGCUUGCUAGGUGGAUUAGUGGCGAACGGGUGAGUAAUACGUGAGUAACCUACCUUUAACUCUGGGAUAAGCCUGGGAAACUGGGUCUAAUACCGGAUACGACCAAUCUCCGCAUGGGGUGUUGGUGGAAAGCGUUAUGUAGUGGUUAUAGAUGGGCUCACGGCCUAUCAGCUUGUUGGUGAGGUAACGGCUCACCAAGGCGACGACGGGUAGCCGGCCUGAGAGGGUGACCGGCCACACUGGGACUGAGACACGGCCCAGACUCCUACGGGAGGCAGCAGUGGGGAAUAUUGCACAAUGGGCGCAAGCCUGAUGCAGCGACGCCGCGUGAGGGAUGACGGCCUUCGGGUUGUAAACCUCUGUUAGCAGGGAAGAAGAGAAAUUGACG
rnacentral:rRNA from 1 species